GCUGCUACCGAUUGAAUGGUUUAGUGAGGACUCCUGAUUGGCGCCGCCGCCCCGGCAACGGAGCAGCGGACUGCCGAAAAGUUGUUCAAACUUGAUCAUUUAGAGGAAGUAAAAGUCGUAACAAGGUUUCUGUAGGUGAACCUGCAGAAGGAUCAUGAUCGGAGGAGCGUCGUGUAGGGAAAUGUAGUAGAUCGUGGUCGUCGUCGUAUCAUUAAAAAAAAAAAACGAUCGACAGUAGAAGCAUUACUAAUGAUCAUAAUACGAUAUUAGAAUGCUG
rnacentral:misc_RNA from 1 species